GCGAGAGAGAUGAGAGCUGAACAACAGUGUCGAGUGAACGCAGAGUUCAUAGAAGGGCGACAGACGUAUUUUCGGGUUGACGGAUAGUUAACUGUAGUGGAAAACUGUUGUACUCUACUGUGAGUAGGAGGAGACGGACGUCUUGCUGGUGUGUCAGAGAGGUCCCUUCUGCUGGUGUGCUGAAGUUAUGUGUUCACGUGAUAGCACGUGGAGACGACGACUGUGAGUGCUGCUGCCGCGGCCUGCUGGUAGCCUUGACCCAGUUUCCUCCACUAUCCCUUUGAACUGCCUGGAGGUGUGUCUGUGUGUGUGUGUGUUGGAUGCCCUGGUGGCCACACCCCUGGGCUGGGCCAUUACCGGCACACCUGCUUUCCAUCCGGGGCGAUUACCUGAAGGACUAUUUAACCCCGCGCUGACGGAUGCUCCACGCCAGUCCAUUAAUCACCUCUCUGUGAUUUCGAUCCGGCGUCCUGCAUCUGCCACCUGCCUGUCCUCCUGCUCGCUUGGACCACACGGUGCAUCACCUGGCCUCAUCACCGACUCCACAGAUUCCCUUUCCACGGACUUACACACUCCCCUCCCAAGUCCCACGGUCCCCACUCUGAUCCCUCCCCACGGUCCCGAUCUCUGCUUCCCCGCGUCAUUUUACAUCCCCGAGUUUUUCAGUUCCUCGCUUUCUUCUCUGGUUAUCCCGGGUCACCUUUUGUUAACAUAGUAAAGUGUGUUUUCCUGCUCGCAUACGAGUCUGCUUUUUGAUCCUUUGGUGCAUGCGUGCCUCGGCACAUGACAAUCUAGCUCUAAAAUAUACACUGAACAAAAAUAUAAAAACAACACUAUUGUUUUUGCUCCCAUUUUUCACGAGCUGAACUCAAACAUCUGAAAAAUUUUCUACAUACACAAGAGACCCAUGACUGUCAAAUAUUAUUCUCAAAUCUUUAUAAAUCUGUGUUAGUGAGCAAUUUUCCAUUACAAAGAUAAUCCAUCCCACCUCACAGGUUUGGCAUAUCAAAGGGCUGAUUAGACAGCAUGGAUAUUGCACAGGUGUACCUUAGACUGGCCACAAUAAAAGGCCACCCUGAAAUGUGCAGUUUAAUCAAACAGCACAAUGCCACAGAUGCCGCAACCUUUGAAGAAGCGUGCAAUUGGCAUGCUAACUGCAGGAAUGUAUACCAGACUUGUUGCCCGUGAAAUGAAUGUUCAUUUCCCUACCAUUUGCCGUCUCCAAUAGUGAUGGGUACCGGUGUCCGGUUCCAUGAUGGCACCGGUUC